rnacentral:rRNA from 1 species
AAGGAAUAUUGGUCAAUGGACGCAAGUCUGAACCAGCCAUGCCGCGUGAAGGAUGAAGGUCCUCUGGAUUGUAAACUUCUUUUAUCUGGGACGAAAACGGGAUUUUUAUCUCAAUUGACGGUACCAGAGGAAUAAGCACCGGCUAACUCCGUGCCAGCAGCCGCGGUAAUACGGAGGGUGCAAGCGUUAUCCGGAUUCACUGGGUUUAAAGGGUGCGUAGGUGGGCAGAUAAGUCAGUGGUGAAAUCUUCCGGCUUAACCGGGAAACUGCCGUUGUUACUAUUUGUCUUGAAUAUUGCGGAGGUAAGCGGAAUAUGUCAUGUAGCGGUGAAAUGCUUAGAUAUGACAUAGAACACCAAUUGCGAAGGCAGCUUACUACACAAUCAUUGACACUGAGGCACGAAAGCGUGGGUAGCGAACA